rnacentral:rRNA from 1 species
CCCUUAGACACUCUAGGCGGCACGCGCGCUACAAUGGGUGGAAGACCGUGUUACUGCCUUCGAAAGAAGGGGUGAAUCACGAAUUCUUACCCGUGAAUGGGAUAGUUUGUUGCAAUUUUCGGACUUGAACUAGGAAUCCCUUGUAAGCAUGCCCAAGAAUAGCGUGUUGAAUACGUCCCUGCCGUUUGUACACACCGCCCGUCGUUUCUUCCGACUGAUACUCAUUGUGAGUUGCAAGGACCCUUUAUUGGGAAAUUGCUGCGAAUGCUUUGUAUUGGAGGAAGAAAAAGUCGUAACA